GACCGAUGAGGAGAACACAUUCCAUUUCAGUACCGACCACGCAGCAAUCACAGUUUUCAGGAUUUAGCUAUCGAUGGAACACAUCCACACCGUAUUGCAUGGCAAAGGAAAUCCCUUGCUCAGCGUCUCCUCCACGCAGCCAGCCCGACCCGGUGCAGUGCAUCUGAACUGAGUCUGGUGUUCGUGGUUCCCUUGCUCUCAGCGUCUCCUCCACCAGCUCACCGCCAUGGCCACCGCGCGCGCAGUUACCGCGUCCAUGAGGCUCACCUGCGCGCUCAGCACCUUAGCCAUCCUCGCCGCAAUCCUCUUCAUGUUCCUCCUGCUGCUCGCUGGUGCCUUGCAGCUGCGUGUCCCGACCGGCUACGCGGUGGUCGACUGCGCCCCGCCCCCGCCCUCGGACGACAGCGCUGCUGCCUUCCUCGACAGCCUCCUGCCGCUCCUGGCCGCGCUGCCCGCAGCUGCCGCGCCGACGGGGUUCGCGGCCCUUCAUUCCGACGGCGCGGCGUUCGCCCGCGGCAUCUGCCUGGGCGGCUCCGCGCCCAAGGAGUGCCUCGCGUGCCUCUCCGCCGCCGCCAAGAACCUCACCGGCUGCGGCGCGAGCAGGCGCGCCGGCGUCUGGAGGGGCGAGGGCUGCUUCAUGGCUUACGCCGACGGCAACGUUUCCUCUCCGCACGAAGACGUCUUCCGCGGCGUCGUCGCCUUCGGCGAAGACGUCUUCCCCGUCGUCAUCUCCUUCGACGACGGCAGGCCGCCCUCCAACCCCAAGUGCUUCGACACGCGGGCGCUCGUCGCGCUCGCGCAGUCCCUGGCGGGGCGCGGCGCGGCCAACAGCUCGGGGGCGCGCGUCGUCACCGACGCGGCCACGCUCUCGAGCAACGCCACUGGGAAGACCGCGGUGACGCUGCGGGCGCAGUGCGCGAGGGACCGCGCGGCGGCGGCGGAGUGCGCCCGGUGCCUGGGGGACUCGGCGCGAGAGGUGCGUGCGUGCGACUGGGGCCUUGACGGCGAGCACGUGCGUGUGGCCGACGUGGUCGGCUACAACUGCUUCCUACGGAUCGAGACCUCAGUUCCGACGGGCUGGCCCGUGCCCGUGGAAAUAUAUGAAGGAUCCCGUCCUGAUCACCUUGUGCGCCGGCAUGCUGCUGGCAGCCCUCGCCGCGGUAAUCGCCUGCGUCGAUGGGAGAAAGAACAGGGGCACCAGGAACGCGUAGCUGCUGCUGCUGCAGCAGCAGCAGCAUCAGGUCAGCAAGUGAACGCUGCUGCAAACUGAGGGAGAUGGAGUCACCGGACACCACCACCUUUGUAGUCAUACGACCACCCCGCCCUGCUGCUGCUCUGCUUCACCGCGUGCGCGCGGAUGAGACCGAUCGUCGUCGAUGCUCUCGUAGCUGGUACUAGCUGGGGUAGUAGUAGCGUGGCCACUGCGUUGGCUGUCGUAUGGGGCGAUAUGAACCCUAUGUAAUUACUGAUCCGUCGGUUUUCACCCGGUUUUCCGUUAAUUAACCGGGCAAUUCUCUUCUUUUUAAUUAAUAGAUGAGGCAAAUCUUUUGCCUCCGUUUAGAAAAAAAUUACCGAUCCACAACUCUAUAUCUUAGAUUAGUUU
rnacentral:rRNA from 1 species